AACGAACGCUGGCGGCAUGCCUAACACAUGCAAGUCGAACGAGACCUUCGGGUCUAGUGGCGCACGGGUGCGUAACGCGUGGGAACCUGCCCUUAGGUUCGGAAUAACUCCCCGAAAGGGGUGCUAAUACCGGAUAAUGUCUUCGGACCAAAGAUUUAUCGCCUUUGGAUGGGCCCGCGUUGGUUUAGCUUGUUGGUAGGGUAAAAGCCUACCAAGGCGACGAUCCAUAGCUGGUCUGAGAGGAUCGUCAGCCACACUGGGGCUAAGACACGGCCCGGACUCCUACGGGAGGGAGCAGUGGCGAAUCUUGGACAAUGGGGUAAAUCCUGAACCACCAAUGCCGCGUGAGUGAUGAAGGCCUUAGGGUUGUAAAGCUCUUUUACCCGGGAUGAUAAUGACAGUACCGGGAGAAUAAGCACCGGCUAACUCCGUG
rnacentral:rRNA from 1 species